rnacentral:rRNA from 1 species
GACGAACGCUGGCGGCGUGCUUAACACAUGCAAGUCGAACGGUAAGGCCCUUCGGGGUACACGAGUGGCGAACGGGUGGGUAACACGUGGGUGAUCUACCCUGCACUUCGGGAUAAGCCUGGGAAACUGGGUCUAAUACCGGAUAGGACCACUGCCUGCAUGGGUCGCGGUGGAAAGCUUUUGCGGUGUGGGAUGGGCCCGCGGCCUAUCAGCUUGUUGGUGGGGUGAUGGCCUACCAAGGCGACGACGGGUAGCCGGCCUGAGAGGGUGACCGGCCACACUGGGACGGGGAUACGGCACAGACUCCUACGGGAGGCAGCAGUGGGGAAUAUUGCACAAUGGGCGCAAGCCUGAUGCAGCGACGCCGCGUGAGGGAGGACGGCCUUCGGGUUGUAAACCUCUUUCAGCACCGACGAAGCGCAAGUGACGGUAGGUGCAGAAGAAGGACCGGCCAACUACGUGCCAGCCGCCGCUGUAA